rnacentral:lncRNA from 1 species
ACAAAACACCAAUGAUAUGUAAAGACUUCCUAUAAAUUGUCAUCUCAAGAGAGGAAGUCCAUAUCUGUUCCCUACUCAUCGGCCACUUUGGUGGAGCAGUUUGACUUACCAAGCCUGUUGCUUUGCAUUUUAUCUAGAACCUCCGGACCCACUACAUCAGUGAAAGUAAUGAACACCUGGGAAGAACUGGCAUAGGGGUAUGCCUGGUCCACAACACAUACAGAGGCAGAGAAAAGAAGACGAUGACUAGAAGUUUAUUUUAGAGGCAAUGUGACAAAACACCAGUUGUGGAAGGAGAAGCAAGACAAAGAAGAAAAGGCAGUAACAGAAGCUCUGUAGACUGUCUGCAAAAUAAUGAUGAAGAAGAUAAUGACUAGGAUGAGCAUGAGGAUUAUUUGGAUCAUCUAUUGCUUUAUAACAAAUUGCACCAAACCUAUAAGAACUCAGUAGCAACUACAGGGUGAGUAGCUCUUACCUGAAAUGUUAAGGACAAGAAGUGAUUGAGAAUUUUGGCUUUUUUUCAGCUUUGGGAAUAUUUGCAUGCACAUAAUGAGACAUGCUGGGGAUGGGACUCGAGACCCUGCAUUUCUGUCACAUACUCCUUAUUCACAUAAACUGAAUUUUAUACAAUACUUUCAAUAACUGAAUACACAAAAAAUAAUCUUAUGGCAUAGAAGUUUCUACCUGUGGCACCAUGUCAGUGCUAAAAAAGUGUUAGGUUUUGG